ACAAGUGCAUGUGGUGGA
rnacentral:rRNA from 4 species